AAGUCGUAACAAGGUUUCCGUAGGUGAACCUGCGGAAGGAUCAUUAACACGUAUCCAACGUUAACCCCCCUGUGAACCUUCAUUGAGCCCGGUGACCCGGUCGGCCGUGUCGGCCUCUAGUGAUCGUUACUGCGCCAUUCUUACGAAUGCCAGGCCACUUGUCUCGCGCUGCAAGCCCACUCCAUGCAGAGGUCCCUGAAUCAAAACUGUUCGGUGAUGAUUUACCGCGUCCUAACGGAAUGGGGGAGCACCCCCCUAUCACGAAAACGGGCCUGCGCUUAAUUGUGCGGUCACCAAACUCGAACAACUGUUAACAAUGGAUAUCUUGGUUCUC
rnacentral:misc_RNA from 1 species